rnacentral:rRNA from 1 species
GAUGAACGCUGGCGGCGUGCCUAAUACAUGCAAGUCGAGCGAACAGACGAGGAGCUUGCUCCUCUGAUGUUAGCGGCGGACGGGUGAGUAACACGUGGAUAACCUACCUAUAAGACUGGGAUAACUUCGGGAAACCGGAGCUAAUACCGGAUAACAUGUUGAACCGCAUGGUUCAACAGUGAAAGACGGUCUUGCUGUCACUUAUAGAUGGAUCCGCGCCGCAUUAGCUAGUUGGUAAGGUAACGGCUUACCAAGGCAACGAUGCGUAGCCGACCUGAGAGGGUGAUCGGCCACACUGGAACUGAGACACGGUCCAGACUCCUACGGGAGGCAGCAGUAGGGAAUCUUCCGCUAUGGGCGAAAGCCUGACGGAGCAACGCCGCGUGAGUGAAGAAGGUCUUCGGAUCGUAAAACUCUGUUAUUAGGGAAGAACAAAUGUGUAAGUAACUAUGCACGUCUUGACGGUACCUAAUCAGAAAGCCACGGCUAACUACGUG